UACGUAGGGGGCAAGCGUUGUCCGGAAUUAUUGGGCGUAAAGCGCGUGUAGGCGGCCUUGCAAGUCGGGUGUGAAAUCCCUCAGCUUAACUGAGGAAGUGCGCCCGAAACUGCAGGGCUUGAGUACCGGAGAGGGUGGCGGAAUACCCCAAGUAGAGGUGAAAUUCGUAGAUAUGGGGUGGAACACCGGUGGCGAAGGCGGCCACCUGGACGGAUACUGACGCUGAGACGCGAAAGCGUGGGGAGCAAACAGG
rnacentral:rRNA from 1 species